CCUACGGGUGGCAGCAGUGAGGAAUAUUGGUCAAUGGGCGCGAGCCUGAACCAGCCAAGUCGCGUGAGGGAUGACGGUCCUAUGGAUUGUAAACCUCUUUUGUCGGGGAGCAAAAGACCCCACGCGUGGCGUUCCGAGAGUACCCUAAGAAAAAGCAUCGGCUCACUCCGUUCCAGCAGCCGCGGUAAGACGGGGGAUGCGAGCGUUAUCCGGAUUUAUGGGGUUAAAAGGGUGCGCAGGCGGAAGACAAAGUCAGCGGUAAAGUCGAGAGGCUAACCUUCUUCGAGCCGUUGAAACUGGUUAUCUGGAGUGAGCGAGAGGUAAGCGGAAUGCGUGGUGUAGCAGUGAAAUGCAUAGAUAUCACGAAGAACUCCGAUUGCGAAGGCAGCAAACCGGCGCUCAACUGACGCUCAUGCACGAAAGUGUGGGUAUCGAACAGGAUUAGAUACCCUAGUAGUC
rnacentral:rRNA from 1 species